UACAGAGGUCUCAAGCGUUGUCCGGAAUCAUUGGGCGUAAAGCGCGUGUAGGCGGUUACGUAAGUCUGCUGUGAAAGUCGGAGGCUCAACCUUCGAAAGCCGGUGGAUACUGCGUGACUAGAGUACGGAAGAGGAGAGUGGAAUUCCCGGUGUAGCGGUGAAAUGCGCAGAUAUCAGGAGGAACACCACGGCGAAGGCAGCUCUCUGGGACGUUACUGACGCUGAGACGCGAAAGCGUGGGGAGCAAACAGG
rnacentral:rRNA from 1 species